ACGCUGGCGGCAGGCCUAACACAUGCAAGUCGAGCGGUAGAGAGAAGCUUGCUUCUCUUGAGAGCGGCGGACGGGUGAGUAAUGCCUAGGAAUCUGCCUGGUAGUGGGGGAUAACGUUCGGAAACGGACGCUAAUACCGCAUACGUCCUACGGGAGAAAGCAGGGGACCUUCGGGCCUUGCGCUAUCAGAUGAGCCUAGGUCGGAUUAGCUAGUUGGUGAGGUAAUGGCUCACCAAGGCGACGAUCCGUAACUGGUCUGGGAGGAUGAUCAGUCACACUGGAACUGAGACACGGUCCAGACUCCUACGGGAGGCAGCAGUGGGGAAUAUUGGACAAUGGGCGAAAGCCUGAUCCAGCCAUGCCGCGUGUGUGAAGAAGGUCUUCGGAUUGUAAAGCACUUUAAGUUGGGAGGAAGGGCAUUAACCUAAUACGUUAGUGUUUUGACGUUACCGACAGAAUAAGCACCGGCUAACUCUGUGCCAACAGCCGCGGUAAUACAGAGGGUGCAAGCGUUAAUCGGAAUUACUGGGCGUAAAGCGCGCGUAGGUGGUUUGUUAAGUUGGAUGUGAAAUCCCCGGGCUCAACCUGGGAACUGCAUUCAAAACUGACUGACUAGAGUAUGGUAGAGGGUGGUGGAAUUUCCUGUGUAGCGGUGAAAUGCGUAGAUAUAGGAAGGAACACCAGUGGCGAAGGCGACCACCUGGACUAAUACUGACACUGAGGUGCGAAAGCGUGGGGAGCAAAC
rnacentral:rRNA from 1 species